rnacentral:misc_RNA from 1 species
GAAAAAUAUGUAUAAAAUUUGUUCUUUAAUUCGAUUUUGAUUUGGUAUGGCUUCAGUUUGAUUCUUAGCGAAGAACCAUAACCAAAUCAAAACAGUAAAAUUAAAAUAAGUUCUUAUUGAUACAGUACAACUCUUCAGUUUAGAACCCCCCAACAUGCUUCAAGAAUGCAAAUCGAAAAGGCUCAACUUGAAUGAAAAAAUUCUUGUCAAAAUCUUAGUAGCUCUCCAAUUUACAAAUUUAGGUGACAAAACCUCAAUGGGGACCAAUAUUAGCAUCCCCUUACCAUAUCCAAAAACACGCGUGCACACUUGUAUUUGGAUAUGUUAAAGAGUCUUCAAACGAAGUGAUAGUCUAUGAAAUCCAGCUCCACCAAACUCACUACUCCAGGUGUUUGACUUAGAUUAAGAAAAUCAACUUAUAGUGCUCAUAAGUUAAUUUGGACUUAUAUGCAUUUAAAAUUCUAAGUAGUUAAGUAUUUAAUUAAAGUGCUUAUAAGUGACUGAUAAGCAUUUAAUGUGUUUGGUAAAAAAAAGAAAAGAAAAAAAAAGCUUAUAAGCACAUUUAUUAUUA